CCUACGGGAGGCUGCAGUGGGGAAUAUUGGACAAUGGGCGAAAGCCUGAUCCAGCCAUGCCGCGUGUGUGAAGAAGGCCUUCGGGUUGUAAAGCACUUUCAGUGGGGAAGAAAGCCUUGGGGCUAAUACCCUCGAGGAAGGACAUCACCCACAGAAGAAGCACCGGCUAACUCCGUGCCAGCAGCCGCGGUAAUACGGAGGGUGCGAGCGUUAAUCGGAAUUACUGGGCGUAAAGCGCGCGUAGGCGGUCUGAUAAGCCGGUUGUGAAAGCCCCGGGCUCAACCUGGGAGCGGCAUCCGGAACUGUCAGGCUAGAGUGCAGGAGAGGAAGGUAGAAUUCCCGGUGUAGCGGUGAAAUGCGUAGAGAUCGGGAGGAAUACCAGUGGCGAAGGCGGCCUUCUGGACUGACACUGACGCUGAGGUGCGAAAGCGUGGGUAGCAAACAGGAUUAGAUACCCGUGUAGUC
rnacentral:rRNA from 1 species